UACGGAGGUGGCAAGCGUUGCUCGGAAUCACUGGGCGUAAAGGGCGCGUAGGCGGGGAGGUAAGUCGGGUGUGAAAUCCCUCGGCCCAACCGAGGAACUGCGCCCGAGACUGCUUCUCUUGAGUCCCGGAGAGGAAGAUGGAAUUCCCGGUGUAGCGGUGAAAUGUGUAGAGAUCGGGAGGAACACCGGUGGCGAAGGCGGCUGUCUGGGGUCUUGCUGACGCUGAGGCACGAAAGCCAGGGGAGCGAACGGG
rnacentral:rRNA from 1 species